UCUGAUCUUCAGAAUGAUGCUUCAAUUUAGCUGAAGAAAUUUUCUUCAAACAUUGAUGCUGAUUUGUGCCCAUUUAUGGAUCAAACUUUUAAGUGAAUGAGUUUUAUGUAGUCAUGUUUGUAGGAAACAUUGUAUGUUUAAAAUUUUGCAAAUAAAUAUUCCACGUAAGGGGUUGGAUAAGGGAUUCUUCUAAAGCCCAUGAAAGUUAAUGGUAAAGUAAUCCAUAUCGAUUUUAGUGGAUAUUAGGUGAGGCCUUAUGUGCAAAUAUAAAUAAUUUCCCGCUGAAGUUGAGCAUACAAACAUUUAGGUAACUCUUAUUUCAUUUGCCUUUAUAUAUCUGGGCUCCCGGACUGGACUUCCGAAAACAUUGCAGAUGGGAUAUUCUGAGUACUUCAUAUUGUAAAUUUUAACAAAUUUGCAGUUAUUAUCUCUUCCAGAAAGUCUGGUCUACCUAUCUUCUCAGCACAGAAGAGCAGAAGGUUGUGGCUACUACAUACCCGUACAUGACUGGGUGAUACUUCUGGUUUGUGUUGCCUCCCUGCUGCUGACUUCUGCCUUACAUUCUUCCUGGCACAUCAAUCAGGCCAUGUUUUGCCACAAACGUGCUGCAAACUGGAAGUUUUUAGAGGCCCUGUGCUAUUCAAGUCAACGGGUCUCUUUCUUUAGGAGAAACACUGCACUUUCUGUUCAGUAAGUGCCUACUGCACUUUGGCACUGAAGAAGUGGGUGAUGAUAAAACCACAAAUUUCACCAGGCUCAACAAGGAAGGAAAAAAAUGGAUCUAUAGUAUAAAAACAAAGGACACACUGGAAAUAUAUAAAAGACAUACUCCAAGAAAUAUGGAGGCCAAUGAGAAGAUGGCCAUGGGUUUCAAUUUCUUUUAGAUAUGGCUCAGGCAGAUAACAUAAUAUUGUACCGUGUGUGUUUUAUUGUGCUGAACAUGGAUUUUAAUAUAGAUGACACAAAAGUAAAAAUGUAUAUUAUUGCC